rnacentral:SRP_RNA from 1 species
GCCCGGCGCGGUGGCGCGCGCCUGUAGUCCCAGCUACUCGGGAGGCUGAGGUGGGAGGAUCACUUGAGUCCAGGAGUUCUGGGCUGCAGUGCGCUAUGCCGAUCGGUGUCCGCACUAAGUUCAGCAUUAAUAUAGUGACCUCCCGGGAGCGAGGGACCACCAGGUUGCCUAAGGAGGGGUGAACCCGCCCAGGUCGGAAACGGAGCAGGUCAAAACUCCCGUGCUGAUCAGUAGUGGGAUCGGGCCUGUGAAUAGCCACUGCACUCCAGCCUGGGCAAUAUAGUGAGACCCUGUCUCU